UACAGAGGGCCCGAGCGUUGUUCGGAUUUACUGGGCGUAAAGGGCGCGUAGGUGGUGAGGUAAGUCGGAUGUGAAAGCUCCGAGCUCAACUCGGAAAUGGCAUUGGAAACUACCUUGCUAGAGGGUUUGAGGGGGGACUGGAAUACUUGGUGUAGCAGUGAAAUGCGUAGAUAUCAAGUGGAACACCAGUGGCGAAGGCGAGUCCCUGGAAAACUCCUGACACUGAGGCACGAAAGCUAGGGGAGCAAACAGG
rnacentral:rRNA from 1 species